GAUGAACGCUGGCGGCGUGCCUAAUACAUGCAAGUCGAGCGAACGCACGGUAAGAUCGUUCCCCUACUGUUGGCGGCUGACGGGCGAGUAACACGUGGAUAACCUACUUAUUAUACUGGGAUAAUUACGGGAAACCGCAGCCACUACUGCCUCAUAUUUCGUACGGCUUGGAUCAGAGGUGCAUCACGCUCUUCCCGUCUCAUUUAGAUGAUUCCGCGUUGCAUUAGCUAGUUGGUAAGGUAACGGCCUACCAAGGCGACGAUGCGUAGCUGACCUGAGAGGGUGAUCGGCCACACUGGAACUGAGACACGGUCCAGACUCCUACGGGAGGCAGCAGUGGGGAAUAUUGGACAAUGGGCGAAAGCCUGACGCAGCAAUGCCGCGUGAGUGAUGAAGGCCUUCGGAUCGUAAAGCUCUGUUGUUAGGAAAGAACAGAUGUAGAUGAAUAUCUGCACGUCUUGACGGUACCUAAAGAGAAAGCCACGGCUAACUACGUG
rnacentral:rRNA from 1 species